GAUGAAGAACGUAGCGAAAUGCGAUACUUGGUGUGAAUUGCAGAAUCCCGUGAACCAUCGAGUCUUUGAACGCAAGUUGCGCCCGAAGCCACUAGGCCGAGGGCACGCCUGCCUGGGCGUCACACGUCGUUGCCCCCCCAUCUACUCCUUCGGGAUUGCGGGGGGGCGGAUGAUGGCCUCCCGUGCGCCUAGCCGCGCGGUUGGCAUAAAUACCAAGUCCUCGGCGACGCACGCCACGUCAAUCGGUGGUUGCGAAACCUCGGUUGCCCGUCGUGUGCGUUCGUCGCGCAUCGAGGGCUCGAAAAAAUGCUCGGCUUCGGCUCGGCUUUCAACGCGACCCCAGGUCAGGCGGGGUUACCCGCUGAAUUUAAGCAUAUCAAUAAGCGGAGGA
rnacentral:misc_RNA from 1 species